rnacentral:ncRNA from 1 species
CAUGAUCACUCCACGAUCUGAUCAAUGCGUCCUAAAGAAAGGAGGAAUCAACCGUUAAACUCACGGUGCGGCAGUGUGGAGACCUGUCGUAAUGCGGCGCGUCCCUCGCGGGCGGUCGCGAGGUAUCCGGGAGGAGUCCCGUAUACUAGAGUUAACAAUAUGGCA